rnacentral:rRNA from 1 species
UACGUAGGUGGCAAGCGUUGUCCGGAUUUACUGGGCGUAAAGAGCGCGCAGGCGGUCGUUCAAGUCGCGUGUGAAAGCCCCCGGCUCAACUGGGGAGGGUCACUCGAUACUGAUCGACUUGAAGGCAGGAGAGGGAAGCGGAAUUCCCGGUGUAGUGGUGAAAUGCGUAGAUAUCGGGAGGAACACCUGCGGCGAAGGCGGGUUGCUGGGCUGACACUGACGCUGAGGCGCGAAAGCCAGGGGAGCAAACGGG